ACCUGGUCUCGGGAACCUCCGCUCAGCCCUCGGGUGAUCUGGUCCCUGAGAACGAGCGGCGCACCCACACCUUCUCCUCCCUCCCGCCCUCCUGCCCUCUCUCUCCCCAGCCUUCAGGGAAAGAAGCCCCUGGCUUUACAUCCAGGGCCCUCAUCAUGAAUCCUGUGCUUGUCAAGCAUGAAGGCUUCAUUCACCCACCUCUGUUCUAGGCCUCAGUCUCCUGGAAACCAAUGGGCUCUGCACAGGGUUUGAACUCUAGUUAGUUCCAUUCUGCUCCCAACUUCCCACUGACUGGCUCCUCCCCGAGGGUCAAUAUGAAUUUCCUUCAAACUUAGCAGUUGCUCUAUAACCAGGCCAUGAUCCAGCCAGCUUCAGCCUUCUUUACCUCCAGUAGGUCCUCCCUCACGGUGUUCCCCCCACAUGGGUCUGGCCUCUUGUGGCCACUAAAUGGUAGGUAUAUUUCCCAAGAUAUUCUCAGCCUUGUUAGCUAUUGGAGAAACCCAAACCAAAAAUUAGAUACUAUUUUACACAUACCAAGUUGGUAAAAAUUAGAUCAACCUAUACAUAUAAGGAUAUGGGUAAAAAAAAAGAACCUUCAUGAUAUAAAAUGAAGUAUUGACCUAUGUAGCUGUGUUGGGGAACAAUUAGCCAACAUUUUAUGAAAUUAAAUAAGGAUAUAACCUAUAAGCCUACAAUCUCAUUCCCUGAUGGGAUCUUUACAAGGGUGAUAUUCGUAGCAUUAUUUAUACUAGCAGGGAAGGUGGCAUUUUAGUUUCUAACUCAAGAAGAAUGGAUAAGCAACAUAUGGUUGGUAUAUACAACAGAAUACAUUUCCAAGAAUAGGAGCCAAGCCCGUUAAACUGUAUGCCUAUAGGGCAGGGCAUCAGGAAGGAAUUGGAGAUCAGAAACAAAAAGAAAAUAUAAACCAACGAAAUAACCCUAAGCUAGCAACUAAGAAGAAUUAUUAAAUUACUAGUAGUCAAUAAACAUUAAAGAGGGAAAAAGAAAAUCUUUCCCAAAAGUGAAAGGGUUCAGAUCAGGUCUAGAACUAAGAGAAAGGAUUAUUCUAAAGCUACCCUAUAGUAUUAGCUUCCUAGGGUAAGUUACUUUACCUCCUAAAGUCUCACUUCUGUUAUCUAUAAUCCAGGAAAAAUAGUUCUUCUCUCAUACCCUAGUGGAGUCCUGCAUGGAUGCCAGUAGAAAGACACCAAAGCUUGAAUUUCCUGUUAAACUCCUGAAAAAGUCACUUAACUCUGCCAUAGAGCCAGCUCAAAAAAUGAGUAAAAAUGCCAUGGAAAAGAAACAGAAACAAAACCCAAAUGCAAUGCUUCAUGCCAAAAGACAGUAAAAUACUGGCAGUAAACAUCUGAGGGCGGAGAUGGGAAUGGGAAUUUUUACUACCUUUUCUUCCCAUUCCUGUACAAGGCCACCAUUGCCCCUCUAGCAUUUUUGGUCAUCCAAAGACCUUAUCCUGUAUAAAAUUCGAUGAUGUCCCUUUCUCCAAGUAGAUGCAGCCCCUCCAGGACACAUCCUUUGGUACAGGAGCCCAGGCCAUGUUUCAGAGCUUACUAUUUACUUCUUGCAUCUUUGUUCUUAGUUUCACAGGAUACCCUCAAAAUAAUGUUUUUCAAAGUAAAUAAGGUUAAAUCCUUUUCUUUCCUGCCUCUUUCAAUGUGGUCUUAUUACUUAUUUGUAAUACAGUAAGCCUGGUUCUUUUAUGCUUAGUAUUCCAUUUUGGGUUCUCUUCACACUUAGUUGAGGUUUUUUGUAACUUUAUGUACAGUAAAAUCCACCGUGCUUUUAGAGUUCCGUGAGUUCUGACAAAUGCUUGUUCAUGUAACCAUCACCAGUUAUGACAUAGCCAAUUCUAUCACCCUCCAAAUUCCCUUACAGUGGUUUUUUUGUAGACAAGCCAUCACUGCUUCCUAGAAUUUGUCACUUUUGAAAAAUGUUUAAGUAAUACUUGAAUACUUCUUUUUUAAUAGUUUUUAAUCUUUUAAUUUUUUGAAACCUGGUUAUGUUUUUACUUGUCAUUCUUAAUUUUAAACAUAGCCACUGAUGCUUUCCAAAGGCUAUCCAGUAUGUCAUCUGUGUUACUGGUUUCCAAUUCUAGGAUUUAUUUUUAAAUUGUCCUGAUACUUUGGUUUAUUAAAUCUAUAUUUGUUUACUCAUUUGUAUUUCUUUUAUUUGGUUUCAAGUACCAUUAUUUUUUUCAUCAUCUUAUGUUGAAUUUCAAGGAUAUUUGCUUUUAUCCCUGUGUCAUCACUGGAAAAAUUAGGGGUACGAAUUUUUUAAAAAUGUGAUUUGUCUGGAUUACGGAUUUUUUAUGUGUGUUCUAAUUCUAAUUAUGCCCUAAUUAUUUCUUAUAUAUAGAUAGUCUAUGAUUAUUGUUUUCUUUUUACCUAGACAUUAUUUCAGAGAGAUGUUUGUUUUUAAUAUAGAUUUCCUUAUCAUUUUAUUUUGUUUCAUUAUCUUAUGCUUAGUGAUGUUAACAUUGUAUGUUUUUGCAUGUGUGUGUGUGACAUAAUGUAUGGAGAAAUGCUACAAACAGUUCUUCUGUACUUGAAACUAAGAUAUAUUUUCUGUCCCUAAACUAUUGGAAUAUAUAUUCUUUUCUCAUGAUAUAGUAUAUCGACCUACCUAAAAUCACCAUAAAAUAUUGACAUUACUGUUCAAUUUUAAAUUUUAGAAUUGUUUUACCAUA